rnacentral:lncRNA from 1 species
CAAAUCACCGCAGGGGAAGCGAAGCCAAGAGGACCAGCUGGAAGGUUUCUGUCCAGCAGCGAUGUGUCUUACUGAAGACUCUUCUGCCCCCACAGACCUCAGUCAACAUCUCAAUCACUCGUUCUGGCAGGUCCACAAACCUCAGUACCAUUUUUCAGGCUGAGGGGAAACCGAAAGGCAGUCUUAUUCUGAACAUAACUUCCCACCCCGGUCUCAGCCUGAAAGCAUCGGUCCAACACUCUAUAGAGGCAAUGCAGACGCUGGCAUUUCCCUCUCAUGGAGCAAUGAUCCUGAAUGUCUCAACUGCACAUGUGCCUGGUGUGGAGCUUGGCCUGGAGCUGGGACGUUGUUAUUUCAGGGGUAAAUUGGGGAAGACAAAGUCAACAGAAGGAGACCAGUCUUCUUACGCUGUCAAUGUGACCAACUACUGUCUUGCUCUACAGGAAACAGUCCUCCCGGUGUUCUUGACUCUUCAGGGUCUCCUGUCAGUCUCCCCCUGCGAGCUGAGGUUAAUCUCCUCUCUGAGGGCAGACAACCAAGACCUCUCCCUGGAGCUGAGUCAGUCCUGUAGGCCUCAGCGCCUCUCUGGGACCCUCACUCACUCCUUCUCUGGGCUAAGGAGUGGAGGUCUGCCGCAGACCAUCAGCAUAGAGGCUGUAGCUCCUGGAGGCCGUGAGCAGACUCACAGUCUGUUCAUCAAGGUUGGGACAUGUCACAUUAGGGCCAACAGAGUCACAGAAGCCACAGGCAGGACACAGUGGCUCUGGGCUCUGGAGUCCAAGUGUCCGAUGUUACAGGCCCAUUUCAACGGGUCAGUGGGGCAGGACCCUGCUGGUGUCUGGACGGCUGUGAUGGACACUAAUCUGGAGAGAAAAAGGGGUUUUGUGAGGCUCAGUGCAAAGGCCUGGCCAGAUGCAAGUGUAGAGAGUGAGUUCAGUCACAACAUCCCUGAUUUCAGAGGUUUACCUGAACACAGCAGAGUGAGAGUGACCAGCAGGACAGGACAGCAAUACAAUGCUGAAGCCCUAGUUCAGAUGGACGAAUGUGCAGUCAGAGCCACUGGAGCUGUGAUGUUGCAGCCUGGCCUGCAGGGGUCACUGGUGUAUCACAGCAACUGCUCUGUGAUUCAGGUAAAGCGAUCAUACCCUAUAUAUAAAUACUACAUUACCACAUUAAUUAUUACACAG